AUACGGAGGGUGCGAGCGUUAAUCGGAAUUACUGGGCGUAAAGCGUACGUAGGCGGUUGGUUAAGUUAGAUGUGAAAGCCCCGGGCUUAACCUGGGAACUGCAUUUAAAACUGGCGAACUAGAGUUGAGUAGAGGGGAGUGGAAUUUCAGGUGUAGCGGUGAAAUGCGUAGAGAUCUGAAGGAACACCAGUGGCGAAGGCGACUCCCUGGACUAGAACUGACGCUGAGGUACGAAAGCGUGGGUAGCAAACGGGAUUAGAAACCCUAGUAGUCC
rnacentral:rRNA from 1 species